rnacentral:tRNA from 1 species
AAAGAAUUAGUUAAACUUUAUAACAUUAAAAUGUCAAUUUAAAAUUAUUAUAUGCCAGUAAUAUUCUUUU